GAUAAACGCUGGCGGCGCACAUAAGACAUGCAAGUCGAACGAACUUAACCAUUAGUUUACUAUUGGAGCGGUUAGUGGCGGACUGGUGAGUAACACGUAAGCAACCUGCCUAUCAGAGGGGAACAACAGUUAGAAAUGACUGCUAAUACCGCAUAUGCCUUGAGUAUCACAUGGUACAAAAGGGAAGGAGCAAUCCGCUGAUAGAUGGGCUUGCGUCUGAUUAGAUAGUUGGUGAGGUAACGGCCCACCA
rnacentral:rRNA from 1 species